UACGAAGGGUGCAAGCGUUACUCGGAAUUACUGGGCGUAAAGCGUGCGUAGGUGGUGAGUUAAGUCUGAUGUGAAAUCCCCGGGCUCAACCUGGGAAUGGCAUUGGAUACUGGCUCGCUAGAGUGCGGUAGAGGGUGGUGGAAUUCCCGGUGUAGCAGUGAAAUGCGUAGAGAUCGGGAGGAACAUCUGUGGCGAAGGCGGCCACCUGGACUGAUACUGACACUGAGGUGCGAAAGCGUGGGGAGCAAACAGG
rnacentral:rRNA from 1 species